rnacentral:lncRNA from 1 species
AAAAUAUUAAGUAUGAAAAUUAUCAAAGCAAUGAUUAUAGCCAUCUUCUUCCUUGUUUUCUCUGUAGGCUCUAGCUUUGGUGACUCUUCAUUUGAAGAUUCCUCUUUGGUUAGAGUGAAAAGAAUUGAUAUUCAAACUCAAGAUAAAAUUAGCAGCUUUUUUCGUCAAAUGAUGUCUCAAAGGAGAAACUUAAGUUGUUCUUGGUGGUGUUGGCCAGUGUGCUGUAAAUCUACUGUUGUUAAAAUGCCUUAAGUGAGAUUGUUA